rnacentral:rRNA from 1 species
UACGUAGGGUGCGAGCGUUAAUCGGAAUUACUGGGCGUAAAGCGUGCGUAGGCGGUUGGCAAAGUCAGCUGUGAAAGCCCCGGGCUUAACCUGGGAAUGGCGGUUGAAACUAGUCGACUCGAAUCUGGCAGAGGGGGGUGGAAUUCCACGUGUAGCAGUGAAAUGCGUAGAGAUGUGGAGGAACACCGAUGGCGAAGGCAGCCCCCUGGGCUGAGAUUGACGCUCAGGCACGAAAGCGUGGGGAGCAAACGGG